rnacentral:lncRNA from 1 species
CUGAAUUCACGGGAGACAGAAAAUCUUCACCAUCCAUAGUUGUAAGCAACAAGGCUCCACCAGAAAAGACCUUUUUAACAACAUAUGGACCUUCAUAAUUCGGAGUCCACUUGCCCCUGUUAUCUGUACCGGGAGGAAGGAUCCUCUUUAAAACUAAGCCACCUAUCUGAUAGCUUCGAGGACGCACUUUCUGAUCAAAGGCCUUCUUCACCCUUCUCUGAUAUAGUUGUCCAUGACACACAACUGCUAAUCGCUUU